GACGAACGCUGGCGGCGUGCCUAAUACAUGCAAGUAGAACGCAGUUGCGCACGGGUGAGUAACGCGUAGGUAAAUGCCUCAUAGCGGGGGAUAACUAUUGGAAACGAUAGCUAAUACCGCAUACUGUGAGAUGGAACUGCUUUGUAUUAGCUAGUUGGUGAGGUAAAGUCUCACCAAGGCGACGAUACAUAGCAGACCUGAGAGGGUGAUCGGCCACACUGGGACGAGGACACGGCCCAGCCUCCUACGGGAGGCAGCAGUGGGGAAUAUUGCACAAUGGGCGCAAGCCUGAUACAGCCAUGCCGCGUGUAUGAAGAAGGCCUUCGGGUUGUAAAGUACUUUCAGCGGGGAGCGUUACCCGCAGAAGAAGCACCGGCUAACUCCGUGCCAGCCGCCGCGGUAAUAC
rnacentral:rRNA from 1 species